ensembl:lncRNA
CACCCAACCUCUCGUGGGUGAGCCUCAUCCAAUCAGUUGAAGCCCUGACUAGGACAAAAGUCUGAGUAAGAGGAAACUCCUGCCUGACUAAUCGAGCUGUCACAUGGGUCUUUUCUAGCCUUUGGACUUGGACUGAAACACUGGCUCUUACUGAGUCUUAAGCCUGCGGAUUUUUGGACUGAAACUUAGACCAUUGGCUGUCCUGGUUCUUGGGCCUUUGGACUCAUGCUGGAACUAGAGAUGAAAUGAUAUGCUGCCUGGGAUUUGCUUCAAAAUUAUCUGGGUGAUAGUGAAGAUGAAAGAAAGCUCCCCAUGUAUUAACAACUGUUGAAACAAGGGUGCUGAGAAGUCUACUAUGGACACACGGGCAGAGUUCCAGGUUCAUCACCCUCCUCCAGAGUUCCAGGUUCAUCACCCUCCUCCAGAGUUCCAGGUUCAUCACCCUCCUCCUCCUGGCUCCGCAGCUCAACUCAGCUCAGUAUUUGUUUUCUGAAGUUGAAACAUUUUGCUGUUUUGGGCAGUCACUCCUCCCCAGUAGGCAACCCUCUUGCCCUAGAGUUGAAUUGUCCUGCUUCUUUGUUUCUAACUAGGUAAUUUACUAGUUUCUGGAGGUGGGGCUUCCUGCCGUUGCAGUUACUCUCUGGGCUAGUGCUUACAAUUGAUAUUCUCCCAGGAAGUUACCUGGGAGAUGAGCUACCUCCUUAGCUUAGAAGUCUGGUUGAUUCCUCCCAGGCCUUGACCAACUUCUGCUUUCCUAUUCCAUAACCUUAUUGAUUAAUCAAAACUAUUGCUUACAGCUGCUGCUUAAUGGAUGAUGGCUCUGGAGUUUUUCUGAAUACAAUUAUUUAUUGCUUUAUUGAUGUGCUACUUAUUACUCUGUUAAGUACCAUAGGGUGUUUAAUUAUGUGAAAGGGAAGUGCAAAGGCAGUUGCUGAAAGCUGGAGUUAAAGAGGCCCAGUACCUGAGUUCCUGACAAUAUGUCAUAAAACAGCUUUAAAACACAUGCACGCACAACAGACAAACCUUGUUCCAAAGUUUAACGAGCUUGGAAACAGAAUGGGCUUAGGGAGCUGCCUUGCCACUUUGCCAUCUGUUAUUAGCCAUAGCACAAGCAAUGAAAUCUUGAUAUUUUAAAUGAAAAGACUUUUUUUGCAGGGGGUGAUGCUUUCAUGCCUUUUCUAUUUCUUGCUGUUGAUUGAAGAGUCUGUGCUAAAGGGCACAGCUAGAAUAGCUGAUGGGAC